rnacentral:ncRNA from 1 species
CGCCCCACCUCGGGGUGCCGGUGAAAACCGGCUGAGAUGCGACACGCGCGAACCCGUUGAACCUGAACCGGUUAAGACCGGCGGAGGGAAGGUAGUCGGAUAUUCC